rnacentral:tRNA from 1 species
GGGGAUUUAGCUCAGCGGCAUAAGCGCCUGCCUUGCAAGCAGGCAGGCAGUCAUGAGUUUGAUCCCCG